rnacentral:rRNA from 1 species
ACGAACGCUGGCGGCGUGCUUAACACAUGCAAGUCGAGCGACGCGCCUUCGGGUGACGGAGCGGCGAACGGGUGAGUAACACGUGGGCAACCUGCCCUCAGCUCUGGGACAACCUCGGGAAACCGUGGCUAAUACCGGAUACGACCACUGGUGGCAUCACGGGUGGUGGAAAGUUUUUCGGCUGAGGAUGGGCCCGCGGCCUAUCAGCUUGUUGGUGGGGUGAUGGCCUACCAAGGCGACGACGGGUAGCCGGCCUGAGAGGGCGAUCGGCCACACUGGGACUGAGACACGGCCCAGACUCCUACGGGAGGCAGCAGUGGGGAAUAUUGCGCAAUGGGUGGAAGCCUGACGCAGCGACGCCGCGUGAGGGAUGAAGGCCUUCGGGUUGUAAACCUCUUUCAGCAGGGACGAAUUCAGACGGUACCUGCAGAAGAAGCACCGGCCAACUACGU